UGCUUACCUUUUUUAAAUUAAUAUAUUGGAUAGUCGUUCACUCGAUUACAUUCGUAAUAUUCCGGAAUUUAAAUUUUCUGUAUUAAGUUUAGUAAUGGUUCCUAAAUUUUAUCAUAUUUUGAUAGGUAAUUAUUUUAAAUUGUAGGCAACUAUAUCUUAAUAAGUUGUACAAUGACGUUUAUUUAUUUACUUUUUAUUUUUUCUAUAAACGCGACUUAGGUUAACUUCUAUAGCCUAAUUUCAUUCUCGUGAAAAUAUUAUGGAUACCAAUGAAAUUUUCCCG